AAUAAGUCGUAAAAUAUAUGGUAUUUUCCCUUUUGGAAUUUACUGAAAGGGUUACUUUUAGAGCAUCUAUGACUAAUAUAUAUUACCUUUUUGGUUAUGUUUAUAUAGGGGCUUCACUGAUAUUCAUUUAAACAUACAAGAAGUGUUUUAAAAUUUGAGAAGGUAAUUUGCACAGCAUCUGGAUAUGUUAUAAAGAAUAAUGUGUUUUUUCUAAGAAGCCUUAGAAGAUCCUCAAUAUAAAUGAAAGAGUUCAUGACAUUAGUGGGGAAAUGGUCCAGGUGAAAUAAGAUUAUUGAGUAGCAGGAAAGCUAUAAUAAAAACUGUCAGUACUGUCACCCAGUUCCCUUUAAGGUCUGUAAAAGAUCAAAGGUAUAUUGAGAAUCAUCUAACAGUUGUUUGGAAUGGGAGGGGAACCACAGUUGUGGUGAGCAACAAUAUGCUGCUUUUAAAAAAAUACCUACAGCUUGUUGUAGUUAAAUUAAAAAUGGUAUGUUGGACUAUAAAAUGUGUUGGGAGACUUGGGUUUUUGAAAAUGGCUACAUGCUAACUAAAGUGUAACUGUAUCAUGGAUAUAUGUAGUCACAUGUAUAUAAACUUACUCAAAUUAAAAUGACAUAUAAAUCAGGUAGUUUAUUAAUUAUAAAUUGCUACUUAAGGAAAGAUCAUAUUGCAAGGGGAAAGUGCUGCCCUACCCUGGAGGAUAAGAAAUUAUUUGUUACCACCUCACCAAAUGGCAGCAGCUGAAAAGAAGAAAGAAGAGCUUUUGGAUUUCAGCUUGGCUUAGAGGAGGGAAAGGUGCAACUGUCUUUGGUAGCCCCAAAUCCAGGUUCAUUCAACACCUUCUGCCUCCACCAUGCUGCCCAAAUUCUACCCCAGUGAACCGUAGGUACACCAAUGGGGAAGUCAGUGCCAGGUCUGUGCUGGUCUUGAAGAUCGGCCCCUUAGUCUGUCUCCAAAAAACUGGUGAUGACAUUGCCAAGGGAACCAGUGAUUGGAAGAGUCCGGGGAUUAUAGUGAAACUGGCCAUUCCAAAAAGACAGGCCUGGAUUUUUUUUUUUUUUUUAAUUUAAGUUCAACUAGCCAACAUAUAGUACAUCAUUAGUUUUAGAUACAGUGUUCAGUGGUCAUCAGUUGCAUAUAACACCCAGUGUUCAUUACAUCACCCAGAUUUUAAGUGGUACUUUCUGCUUCAACUCUGAUUAUCAAAGCCCUUAAGGAAACAACAAGAGACAGAAAGAAGCAGAAAAAUAUUUAAUAAUAGUGGAAAUAAUCACUUUUGAUGAUACCAUCAAUGUUGCCUGACAGAUGUGGCACCAGUCUUUAGCCAGAGAACCCUCUGGAACCAUUAAAGAGAUCCUAUGGGCUGCAGUGUUGAUGGCUGCUGUUUUCCAUGACAUCAUAAAUGACAGCAGUAGUGGCACGGUGGAACACCCAGCUAUUUACAAACCACAAAGGAAAAUUUUUCAAUAAAGGUUCAUUUGACAACACCCCCUCCAAAAAGAAAAAAAAAAAAAAAAAGGAAAAAAAAAAAGGAAA